rnacentral:piRNA from 1 species
UGGUUCCAGAGGGCUAGAAGCCCACCGUG